UACGAACGCUGGCGGCGUGGAUAAGACAUGCAAGUCGGACGCUGAUUGCCGGGUAGCAAUAUUCGGCGGUCGGAGUGGCGGAAGGGUGCGUAACACGUGGGCAAUCUGCCGUGAAGUCGGGGAUAACUUGCUGAAAGGCGAGCUAAUACCGGAUGUGGUUUUGGGAGGGCAUCUUUCUGGAACCAAAGUUGGGGACCGCAAGGCCUGACGCUUCAUGAUGAGCCCGCGGCCUAUCAGCUAGUUGGUGAGGUAAUGGCUCACCAAGGCAAAGACGGGUAGCUGGUCUGAGAGGACGACCAGCCACACUGGAACUGAGACGCGGUCCAGACACCUACGGGUGGCAGCAGUCGAGAAUUUUUCACAAUGGGCGAAAGCCUGAUGGAGCGACGCCGCGUGGGGGAUGAAUGGCUUCGGCCCGUAAACCCCUGUCAUUUGCGAACAAACCUUUCCACCCAACACGUGGAGAGCUGAUUGUAGCGAAAGAGGAAGGGACGGCUAACU
rnacentral:rRNA from 1 species